GUCUUUUUCCAGCCUUUAACCUCUCAAUUAAUCAUACCUCUUCCUCUUUUCCUUUUCCAACUAAAACUCCUCUCUCAUAACGUCUCUCCUUUUCUCUCUUCCUCCCAUACGACAAGAGAAGCCAUCACAACAAGUUUGAUGAAGAGUUUGGCGCGGGGAACGGACGUGAUGGCACCAACCAUGGUAGUUACAGAGUGUCCAACUUGAAUGCUAAGGGGGAGUUUGUAUUUUUUCCAAAAUAGCGAUAACAUCAGGCGUACGUCACCUUCCAAGGUUGAGUACCGUUCGAAGUCAAAGUAGUCGAGAUUUGUAGUUACAGCCUGUCCCAAAUCCUUGAACUAGGACUAUGGUUCGAUCCCCUGUUCUUAAAAUCUUCGCAUUGUGCUCUUUUUCAACUAUUCCCAUCACACUUUUCCUUUAACUUGUGGGAAUCAAGCAUUUAUGUUUUUGUUGCCUCUUAUGUUCUUUCUGCUGGUGAAGAAAGGGUGCAAGGGAAAGAAAAAGUGUGGACUUCUUUGUACCAUUUUUUGUUUGUUUGGGUCUCGAUCAUGAGAAUGAAAGCAAGGAUGACUAUAACCACAUUUUUUGGUGUUUCAUUGAUGUUUGUUGUAGGAUAUCUUUUCACUUUUUUUUUUUUUUUUUUUACAUUUGGGCAUUUGAUGGCUAUAUUUUAGAAAAGAAAAUUUUGAUAUGACACCUUUUUAUAUUUUUUUAGGAUUUUUACAUUUUCUACUGAAUUUCAAUUGAAUUUAUGUUAUAGAUCAAAAGCCACGUUGGACAAAAAAAAAAAAGUGUAAGAGUCCUUAUUAAAGAAAGAACC